rnacentral:rRNA from 1 species
GACGAACGCUGGCGGCGUGCCUAACACAUGCAAGUCGAACGGAAAUGCCCUGUCUUUGUGGGGUUGCACAGUGGGGAAAGGGGUAGUAACACGUAAGUGAACUUCCCUCGACUUUGGGAUAACCUCAAGAAACUGGGGCCAAUUCCAGAUAGGUGCUCCUGCCGCAUGGUGGGGGUUGGCAAGUUUUGGCGGUUGGGGAUGGACUCGCGGUGUAUCAGCUUGUUGGUGGGGUAGUGGCUUACCAAGGCUUUGACGGGUAGCCGGCCUGAGAGGGUGACCGGCCACAUUGGGACUGAGAUACGGCCCAGACUCCUACGGGAGGCAGCAGUGGGGAAUAUUGCACAAUGGGCGGAAGCCUGAUGCAGCAACGCCGCGUGCGGGAUGACGGCCUUCGGGUUGUAAACCGCUUUCGCCUGUGACGAAGCGUGAGUGACGGUAAUGGGUAAAGAAGCACCGGCUAACUACGUG